AUUGAACGCUGGCGGCAGGCCUAACACAUGCAAGUCGAACGAGUGGCGGACGGGUGAGUAAUGUCUGGGAAACUGCCCGAUGGAGGGGGAUAACUACUGGAAACGGUAGCUAAUACCGCAUACCAUCGGAUGUGCCCAGAUGGGAUUAGCUAGUAGGUGGGGUAACGGCUCACCUAGGCGACGAUCCCUAGCUGGUCUGAGAGGAUGACCAGCAACACUCGAACAGCUGCACGGUCCAGACUCCUACGCGAGGCAGUAGUGGGGAAUCUUGCACAAUGGGCGCAAGAAUGAUGCAGCCGUGCCGCGUGUAUGAAGAGGCCCAUCGGAUUGUAAAGUACUUUCAGCGGGGAAGAGUUAAACGAAGGAGAAGCACAGGCUAACUCCGUGCCAGCAGCCGCGGUAAUAC
rnacentral:rRNA from 1 species